UCGCACCGAAGACGCUGCUGCCCUUUGUCCGUCCAUACUUUUUUAUACGAUAAGUAAUCAGCAACAUAUCAUAUACUAAAACCUUCUCCGAAACACACUGCAUCUUAUGGUAUAAGUAUUAUGCCGAUCG